CUGGGUUAGACACAGUAAAGAGGUCGUGGGUUCUUCUUGGACCCUCCAGGCAUAAAUGACAGGUUAGUUAAAAAAACAAAGACAGAGAACGAAAAAAGAAAAAGGAAAGAAAAGACACCUAUCUCGGCUUUGCUACCUUUUAAAACGCGGCUGAAUUGGUUCGGAAUCCUUGCGGAGCAGCUAAGAGGAUCCAGCCGGACGCGGUUCAUGAAGAGAAAAAAGAAGUGGUUGAUUAAUUUGAACUGUCAAUCCCAAGAUAACCCAAUACCCACAUCUGACUCUUUCAAUCAAUGGUUUCAACAUCUCUAGCAUCAUUUUGAGUUGGUAUUUUCUUGUGUUCAAGUACCAGAUGUGGAGGAUUCAUUGCAGGCACCAGGACUCUCACUUGCCUGAAGGUGGACAAGCAAGGACCGAGAGACAGCAGAUCUCUCUUGUGCCCCACAGUAAAGCACCAAGACCUCGUGCAAGAGGAGUGCUGUCUGCACAGCAUACAGUUCUGGUAUUCCCCUUUCUAGUGCAAGUCCUUGAAAUCUUGAUCUCAACACAGAAGCUCAAACUGAAAGGUUAAGAUUACCAAAUCUGGGGUCAAAAUAUCUUCAUAUUGAGCUGUAAGACCCUUCUCACUACUGUAAGAGGUGCAGAUCUCAGCCCAAGAGAGCCAUUUCUUAACACUCUGAAAAGAAGUCAGCCUUGGCAGUCAAUGAAGCAAAGCUAAGGACACAGGUGGAAUCUGAAAUAAAGACUCACAGGUUUGGCACCUAAGGCCACUCAGAUUCCUACAACCAUUUGUAAGAAAUGGAAAAGUGAAGCCCAUACAGCCCUCACUAGCAAGAUAGACCUAUCCCUGAAGAGAUAACUGCACCUAUCCUCCUGAAAAUAGAGAAAUGGGUUAGGCAGUUGGACAUAGAGGACACUUUUAGACAACAGGCUUGAGCAAUGGAAACUCGACCAAGGCAAAAGGGCCCACAGCUACCACCUGGCUGAAUACAGACACACCCAUGAAGGCAGCCCACCUCAAAUAUCAAUAACCCUAAGUAACAAAUGAGCUAAUUAAAGCCAGAUAAAGUUACCAAAACAAGGGAAAUUUCACACAUCACCAUACCGCCUCAUGGCCCCCUUUUAAAUACACCCCCCACCCACUGCCUUGUGGCAGUUACUUCUUUGCUAUCCUGCCUGCUACUUCGUUGUGGUGUAUUCAAUCAACUUCUAUCUCCUUUGUUCUGCCUUGGGUGAGUCCUUUCACCACCCAUGCUACUGGCUUCCACCCCGUCAUCACCCCACUUUUGGGGGCUCCCAUCCAAUCCAGAAAGGCACCACAUUGAAGAAUAAGUUUAUAGCAUGACAAGCAGUUUGACAUAAAAAGAUUAUAUCUAGGACUUCUUAUUUCUAAUAAUAAGCAAUUUGACCCUCAAAUUACAUUUAAAAAGUAAACAAACCAAGAAAACUUUAAAUUUUUGACAGAGAGAGAGAUAACACAGCAGGGAGAGGGAGCAGCAGACAUAGGGAGAUGCAGGCAGAAGGAAAAGCAGACUCCCCACUGAGCAGGGAGCCCAAACACAGGGUUUGAUCCCAGGGCCUUGGGAUCAUGUCCUGAGGCUGAAGGCAGAUGCUUAAUCAACUGAGCCACCCAGAUGCCCCUAGAGUUUUGAACUUAGAGUCAACUUACAUUCUUAAUGUUUUUUUAAAUUUUAAUGUUACUUUAUUUUUUCAGUGUUCCAAGAUUCAUCUUAAAUGUUUUUGAAAGAAUCUCUGCCCAAAGUAAGAAUUAGGGUGGAGAUAUUUCUCAAUGUCUGGGAAAUACAAUAAGUUAAUUGUAUGUUAUCAAAAUCCAUCAAAAUAUAAUGUCUGACAUAGCUUUCUGUCUCCAAUCAUAAUGCUAUCAAAUUUUUAGAGAAUAUUUUGGGACAAUUUAGUGGUAUAAUAAUGAAAUUUUUAGGAUGUUUAAAAAAAAUCUACUUUUAAUGAACAUGACAUGGAUCAGCUAACGUCUUAAA